CACAGUCAUUCUUAAUCUCAUGUUGCUUCAGACACACCACUGCUCCAGGCCAGCAAGAAUGUUUUUCUGGUUUAGGGUGAAGCCACUCAUUUAUGGUCUGCAGCCAAACCUGCAAAAUCUCCAAGGUCUGCCAGUAUUAGCAAAGGGAACAAUUCUCUCCAAAAAUGCACCAUAAACAAGUUAGAUGCAGCUCAGGAAUGCGACAAUAUUUUAAUAUAAGAAAAUGGUUUAUAAAGAUAUGUGACCCUCCCAACCUGGGAACUUGUAAAAUAACGAUCACCGCUGCACAGAUGAUACCUGGCCUCAGAAUGGUGUUGUCCAGCACUGGGAUUUCCUUCAAAAGUAUUGGUUUACCAGUGCAGGACUCAGAAAGACUACAGUGUGACUUUUUAGUACAAGAAGUUUCAUCUAGUCUGAAGGCCUAAGGUAGAAAUAAUCAGAAAUCACCAAGGAAGACUUUUGCUGUCAUCAUUUACAGUGCACUGUUACAGACUCUUAUCAACAUAUUGUCCCUUUCUGCUUUUACUCUCUUGGUAGAAAAUGCCUGCAAUCAUUUGAAAUAUAGGAAUUUCCCAGCAUACAUGACUUGGCUUUUACACACAGGCAUACACUGAUAAAGAAGAGUCUUAUAUCCACAGUCCUGUUCCAUAGUCUCAAGAUAACAAGGGUUUUGUAGUUGUUUUGAAUCUUUAACCAAGAGUAUUUGAGGAGGAAACGACCCAGAAGUAUGCCUUUACAUUCAGCAUUAAAAAAAUCACAAGGCACUGGUGCCCUGAGGUAUCUACACCACUUUCUUUCUGAAGCAUUUUAAGAGAGAGAACAAAAAUGAACCUGACAUCCAGGUUAUAAGUGAUAAUGCAUUCUCACCAGGAAUAUAAUUUACGGUAUUUGGUUCACUAACACAUACCCCUUACCACUCUUUUUAACCAGCGAAUUCAGUGAUUCCGUGUAUAACUGGAAAUUUCUGACUAUUAUCACUUUCAGGGUAGUUCAUUUUAACUAUUUACAUUGUGAAGGGCAAAUUCUUUUAUGAUACAUUACUCUUCUUUGGAUAGGUUCACAUUACCCAAGGGUGGUCUUAGCUUCAAAAAGGAUAAAAAGUUCAAUUUGUUAAAAUAUCAAAUAUAUUUAAAUACAUGAA